rnacentral:rRNA from 1 species
GAUGAACGCUGGCGGCGUGCCUAAUACAUGCAAGUCGAGCGAACAGACGAGGAGCUUGCUCCUCUGACGUUAGCGGCGGACGGGUGAGUAACACGUGGAUAACCUACCUAUAAGACUGGGAUAACUUCGGGAAACCGGAGCUAAUACCGGAUAAUAUAUUGAACCGCAUGGUUCAAUAGUGAAAGACGGUUUUGCUGUCACUUAUAGAUGGAUCCGCGCCGCAUUAGCUAGUUGGUAAGGUAACGGCUUACCAAGGCAACGAUGCGUAGCCGACCUGAGAGGGUGAUCGGCCGCACUGGAACUGAGACACGGUCCAGACUCCUACGGGAGGCAGCAGUAGGGAAUCUUCCGCAAUGGGCGAAAGCUUGACAGAGCAACGCCGCGUGAGUGAUGAAGGUCUUCGGAUCGUAAAACUCUGUUAUUAGGGAAGAACAAAUGUAUAAGUAACUAUGCACGUCUUGACGGUACCUAGUCAGAAAGCCACGGCUAACUACGUG